rnacentral:rRNA from 1 species
GACGAACCGUGCGACCGUUGUUCGGAAUCACUGGGCUUAAAGGGCGCGUAGGCGGGCCUGCCGGUCGGGGGUGAAAUGCCACAGCUCAACUGUGGAAGUGCCCCCGAUACCGCGGGUCUCGAGGGGGAUAGGGGCGUGUGGAACUUCCGGUGGAGCGGUGAAAUGCGUAGAUAUCGGAAGGAACGCCGGUGGCGAAAGCGACACGCUGGAUCCCUACUGACGCUGAGGCGCGAAAGCCAGGGGAGCAAACGGG